rnacentral:rRNA from 1 species
AGAACGAACGCUGGCGGCACGCCUAACACAUGCAAGUCGAGCGCCCAGCAAUGGGAGCGGCGGACGGGUGAGUAACACGUGGGAACAUGCCUUUCGGUACGGAACAACUGCGGGAAACUGCAGCUAAUGCCGUAUACGCCCUUACGGGGAAAGAUUUAUCGCCGAAAGAUUGGCCCGCGUCUGAUUAGCUAGUUGGUGAGGUAACGGCUCACCAAGGCUUCGAUCAGUAGCUGGUUUGAGAGAACGACCAGCCACAUUGGGACUGAGACACGGCCCAAACUCCUACGGGAGGCAGCAGUGGGGAAUCUUGGACAAUGGGGGAAGCCCUGAUCCAGCGACGCCGCGUGAGUGAUGAAGGCCUUCGGGUUGUAAAACUCUUUCGACGGGGACGAUAAUGACGGUACCCGUAGAAGAAGCUCCGGCUAACUUCGUGCCAGCAGCCGC